rnacentral:ncRNA from 1 species
UUCUUUAUCCAUACAACAGUUCUGUAUCGCAGCGAUCCCUUCCGCCUUCCAUGAAGGCGUGUUAGGUUGAUUGCUGCGACGAUCGGCCCAUCGCGCGGAGAUAUUAUCUUUCCCAUUAAUGUCUUUUUUCCCGGUCGACAGAACUGAGAUCAACGCGAGACCUUUUUGUUCUCCCUUUCGGGGGAGAACCGGUCCGCCUUGAGCUCAUCC